GCAACGCUUCUGUCUCAGGUUAAAAUGGUGAGUAGGCCUGCCGUUGCAGUGUCAAGCAAGUGGCUGGAGGGUAUUCGAAAAUGGUAUUACAAUGCUGCCGGGUUCAAUAAACUGGGCUUAAUGCGAGAUGAUACAAUAUGUGAGAAUGACGAUGUAAAAGAAGCCAUAAGAAGGCUUCCUGAGAACCUUUAUAAUGACAGGGUGUUUCGCAUUAAGAGAGCACUGGACCUGACCAUGAGGCAGCAGAUCUUGCCUAAAGAACAGUGGACAAAAUAUGAGGAGGAUAAAUUCUACCUUGAACCACAUCUGAAAGAGGUUAUUCAGGAAAGAAAAGAGAGAGAAGAAUGGGCAAAGAAAUAAUCAUGUAGUCUA